rnacentral:tRNA from 1 species
GGGGAUUGAACCCUGGAUCUUCGCAUUACAAGUGCGAUGCCUUGCCACUUGGCCAC